GAACAAAGUAAGUAAGGGCAGACGGUGGAUGCCUAGGCUCUCGGAGGCGAAGAAGGACGUGAUAAGCUGCGAAAAGCUGCGGGAAUCGGCACAUACGAAUUGAUCCGCAGAUAUCCGAAUGGGGCAACCCGUCAGGCCAAGGCCUGACACAUGAAUUGAUUUCAUGAGCGAACGCGGGGAACUGAAACAUCUCAUUACCCGUAGGAGAAGAAAACAAAAGUGAUUCCCUCAGUAGUGGCGAGCGAACGGGGAUUAGCCCAAACCGGCUUUGUUUCGGCAAAGUCGGGGUAAUAGGACUUCGACAAAAGUUUAAUGAUAGAUAUAGGAGAACCUACUGGAAAGUAUGGCCGAAGAGCAUGAAAGCUGCGUAUCCGACAUAUCGAACAAUAGACGACGGAGCACCUGAGUAGCGCGGGACACGAGACAUCCUGUGUGAAUUGGCGGGGCCCAUCCCGUAAGGCUAAAUACUCCCGAGAGACCGAUAGUGAACCAGUACCGUGAGGGAAAGGUGAAAAGAACCUCGAACAGAGGAGUGCAAUAGACCCUGAACCCGUCUGCCUACAAGCGGUAGGAGCGCCAUUAAGGUGUGACUGCGUGCCUUUUGCAUAAUGAACCUACGAGUUACUGUUUGUGGCAAGGUUAAUUGUUAUAAUCAAGACAAGGAGCCGAAGCGAAAGCGAGUCUUAAAAGGGCGCCCAUUUAGUCACGAGCAGUAGACGCGAAACCAAGUGAUCUACCCUUGGUCAGGUUGAAGGUUAGGUAACACUAACUGGAGGACCGAAUCGGUAAGCGUUGAAAAGCUUUCGAAUGAACUGAGGGUAGGGGUGAAAGGCUAAUCAAACUUGGAGAUAGCUCGUACUCCCCGAAAUGCAUUUAGGUGCAGCCUGUUGGAUGUUAUCAUGAGGUAGAGCGACUGAUUGGAUGCGAGGGUUUCACCGCCUAUCAAGUCCAGAUAAACUCCGAAUGCAUGAUAAUUGACCGAUGGAGUGAGGGCAUGGGUGCUAAGGUCCAUGUCCGAGAGGAGAAGAAUCCGGACCACCGGCUAAGGUCCCGAAAUAAUUGCUAAGUUGUAAAAACGAAGUCAAGAUGCAGAGACAGCUAGGAUGUUGGCUUGGAAGCAGCCAUUCAUUUAAAGAGUGCGUAACAGCUCACUAGUCGAGGAUUUUGGCAUGGAUAAUACACGGGCAUAAGCAAUUUACCGAAGCCGUGGGAUAUAAUAAUAUAUCGGUAGGGGAGCAUUCCAGCGACGUAGAAGGAAAAAGGGCGACUUUUUCUGGAGUUUCUGGAAAAGCAAAUGUAGGUAUAAGUAACGAUAAAGGGGGCGAGAACCCCCCUCGCCGAAAGACCAAGGUUUCCUGAUCAACGCUAAUCGGAUCAGGGUUAGUCGGGGCCUAAGGAUAAGCCGAAUGGCGAUUCCGAUGGACGAACCGGUUAAUAUUCCGGUACUGAUACAGAGAGCGAUGUGGUGACGGAGAAGUGACAGUCCGGCCGUCUGACGGAAUAGGCGGUUAAAGGGUGUAGAUGUUGAUCUGGGUAGGCAAAUCCGCCCUGAGAGUCGAACCUGACAGUACCCGGAGUACAAGUACGAAGGGAUAAGGACGUAACCCGGCUCCCAAGAAAACCCGCUAAGCAUAUUUCUGUGUUACCCGUACCGUAAACCGACACAGGUGGUUGGGUUGAGUAUACUAAGGCGCUCGAGAGAUUCGCGGUUAAGGAACUAGGCAAAAUGGUCCUGUAACUUCGGGAGAAAGGACGCCUGUCUCCGGACAGGCCGCAGAAACCAGGCCCAGGCGACUGUUUAACAAAAACACAAGGCUAUGCAAAAAAGCAAUUUGAGGUAUAUAGUCUGACACCUGCCCGGUGCUGGAAGGUUAAGAGGAGGAGUCAUCGUCAAGAGAAGCUCUGAAUUGAAGCCCCAGUAAACGGCGGCCGUAACUAUAACGGUCCUAAGGUAGCGAAAUUCCUUGUCGGGUAAGUUCCGACCUGCACGAAUGGUGUAACGAUCUGGGCACUGUCUCAACCGCGAUCUCGGUGAAAUUGUAGUAUCGGUGAAGAUGCCGAUUACCCGCAACGGGACGAAAAGACCCCGUGAACCUUUACUAUAGCUUUACAUUGUAUUUGGGCAUCAGAUGUGUAGGAUAGGCCGGAGGCAGAGAAGCGGGUACGCCAGUAUUCGUGGAGUCGAUGUUGAAAUACGGCCCUUUUGAUGUUUGGAUACUAACUCGCGGCGUGCGAGGACAGUGUAUGGUGGGUAGUUUGACUGGGGUGGUCGCCUCCAAAAGCGUAACGGAGGCUUCUAAAGGUACCCUCAGGCCGAUUGGUAACCGGUCGCAGAGUGUAAUGGCACAAGGGUGCUUGACUGGGAGACAAACAAGUCGCACAGGUAGGAAACUAGAGCAUAGUGAUCCGGUGGUUCCGCAUGGAAGGGCCAUCGCUCAAAGGAUAAAAGGUACUCCGGGGAUAACAGGCUGAUCACUCCCAAGAGCUCAUAUCGACGGAGUGGUUUGGCACCUCGAUGUCGGCUCGUCACAUCCUGGGGCUGGAGAAGGUCCCAAGGGUUGGGCUGUUCGCCCAUUAAAGUGGCACGCGAGCUGGGUUCAGAACGUCGUGAGACAGUUCGGUCUCUAUCUGUUGUGGGCGCAGGAAAUUUGCGAGGGUCUGACACUAGUACGAGAGGACCGUGUUGGACAGACCCCUGGUUUACCGGUUGUACCGCCAGGUGCACCGCCGGGUAUCCACGUCUGGUAAGGAUAAGUGCUGAAAGCAUCUAAGCACGAAGCCGGCCUCAAGAUAAGAUUUCCAUAAAUAGGGUGGUUAAAGACUAUGACCUUGAUAGGCUGCAGGUGUAUGAUUGGUAACAAUUAAGCCGAGCAGUACUAAUAGCCCGAAACUUUUGUGCAU
rnacentral:rRNA from 1 species